rnacentral:rRNA from 1 species
UGGCGAACGGGUGAGUAACGCGUUGGUGACCUGCCCCAAAGCGGGGGAUAACAGUUCGAAAGGACUGCUAAUACCCCAUGUUGUCAUCGUUAUUAGAGAGCGAUGACCAAAGGAGUAAUCCACUUUGGGAGGGACCUGCGUCCCAUCAGCUAGUUGGUAGGGUAAUGGCCUACCAAGGCUUCGACGGGUAAGGGGUCUGAGAGGAUGGCCCCUCACAAUGGAACUGAAACACGGUCCAUACACCUACGGGUGGCAGCAGUAGGGAAUAUUGCACAAUGGGCGAAAGCCUGAUGCAGCAACGCCGCGUGUACGAUGAAGGUCUUCGGAUCGUAAAGUACUUUUCAGGGAGAUGAGAAAGGACAGUAUCCCUGGAAUAAGUCUCGGCUAACUACGUGCCAGCAGCCGCGGUAAAACGUAGGAGGCGAGCGUUAUCCGGAUUUACUGGGUGUAAAGCGCAUGCAGGCGGUUUGGUAAGUUGGAUGUGAAAGCUCCUGGCUCAACUGGGAGAGGUCGUUCAAAACUAUCAGACUCGAGAGUGGUAGAGGAAAGUGGAAUUCCCGGUGUAGUGGUGAAAUGCGUAGAUAUCGGGAGGAACACCAGUGGCGAAAGCGGCUUUCUGGACCAUUUCUGACGCUCAGAUGCGAAAGCUAGGGUAGCAAACGGGAUUAGAGACCCCGGUAGUCCUAGCAGUAAACGAUGUGAACUUGGCGUCGGUGGUGUAAAAACUGUCGGUGCCGAAGCUAACGCGAUAAGUUCACCACCUGGGAACUACGGCCGCAAGGUUAAAACUCAAGGAAUUGACGGGUCCCCGCACAAGCAGCGGAGCGUGUGGUUUAAUUCG